rnacentral:snRNA from 1 species
AGCUAUGUGGUAAGCACAUAGCGAACUAUUCUUUUGCCUUUUACUAAAGAAUACCGUGUGCUUGCUACUUAACUGUGGCAUACGCUUAUUUUUGGAGGGCUAAUCUUACUAGAUUAC